rnacentral:rRNA from 1 species
AGAGUUUGAUCCUGGCUCAGAAUCAACGCUGGCGGCGCGCUUAACACAUGCAAGUCGAACGAGAAAGGGGAGCAAUCCCUGAGUAAAGUGGCGUACGGGUGAGUAACACGUGGGUAAUCUACCUCUGGGUGGGGAAUAACCCUGGGAAACCGGGGCUAAUACCGCAUAAUACCGCAAGGUCAAAGGCGCAAGUCGCCUGGAGAGGAGCCCGCGGCUGAUUAGCUAGUUGGUGAGGUAAAGGCUCACCAAGGCAAUGAUCGGUAGCCGGCCUGAGAGGGCACACGGCCACACUGGCACUGAAACACGGGCCAGACUCCUACGGGAGGCAGCAGUGGGGAAUCUUGCACAAUGGGGGAAACCCUGAUGCAGCGACGCCGCGUGAGUGAUGAAGCCCUUCGGGGUGUAAAGCUCUUUCGGCAGGGACGAUAAUGACGGUACCUGAAGAAGAAGCUGCGGCUAACUACGUGCCAGCAGCCGCGGUAAUACGUAGGCAGCGAGCGUUGUUCGGAGUUACUGGGCGUAAAGAGUGCGUAGGCGGUUUUCUAAGUUUGGUGUGAAAUCUCCCGGCUUAACUGGGAGGGUGCGCCGAAGACUGGAAGGCUUGAGUAUGGGAGAGGUAAGCGGAAUUCCUGGUGUAGCGGUGAAAUGCGUAGAUAUCACGAGGAACACCUGCGGUGUAGACGGCUUACUGGACCAUAACUGACGCUGAGCACGAAAGC